ACCACAGAGUUUCCUGAGAUUCCAACCAAGCACGGGGCGGGGACSCCUCAACCCGUGUUUUGGUUUUUGGAGUCUCUCCUGAAUUCUAAUUCUAACCAAGCACGGCGCUGGGACACCUAACCCGCGCUUGGUUGGAUGCGGUUUUUAGGGGCUCGGUGUUUUGGGUUCUUCCAAACAACCAAGUCGUUUGGAAUACAUCAUGGCGCAAUGCAUCCACACUUUCAAAAUAUGACUGAGUAUGGUACCAAGGAGAAUCUCGGGCGGGCGGGCCACCACCCACCCCCCGAGUUCGAGUUGUGUCUUAAAAAAAAAACAGAAACAACUCUCAGCAACGGAUAUCUUGGCUCCUGCAACGAUGAAGAACGCAGCGAAAUGCGAUACGUAGUGUGAAUUGCAGAAUUCCGCGAAUCAUCGAGUCUUUGAACGCAACUUGCGCCCGAGGCUUCAGGGCCUCGGACAUUUCUGUCAGAGCGUCGCCGCGACACCCACCGACCCCCCACUCCCUGGCCGGAGUGAGUGCGGGCCGAGUGAAACUGGCCGUCCCAGCGAGAACUGCUGCUGCUGCUCCUCCGAGUGGUGGUGGCGGUCACUGGGUUGGCUGAAAUGGAUGCAAUUUGGCCCCGCCGCGGCGACACAGCCCGCGAUCAGGUGAUCCCCCAAAAGGGGAAAAGGAGAGUUGGCUGUGUUGGCUGGAGUUGGUGGUGUACUCAAAGCAAAAUGACACGGACAGGCCCCU
rnacentral:rRNA from 1 species